rnacentral:rRNA from 1 species
GACAGAGGGUGCAAGCGUUGUUCGGAAUUACUGGGCGUAAAGGGCGUGUAGGCGGUCUGGUAAGUGGGAUGUGAAAUGCCCCGGCUCACCCGGGGACCUGCAUCCCAAACUACCUGGCUUGAGUAUGGGAGAGGAUGAGGGAAUUCCUGGUGUAGCGGUGAAAUGCGUAGAUAUCAGGAGGAACACCGGUGGCGAAGGCGCACACCUGGCCCGAUACUGACGCUGAGGCGCGAAAGCUAGGGGAGCAAACGGG